GUCCAAUAAUAUCGGCCGAUAAAUGCUUUAAAAUGUAAUAUCGGAAACUACUGGUAUCGGUUUCAAAAAGUUAAAUUAAUGACUUUUUAAAACGCCGCUGUAUAGAGCGGUCCACAUCCGGUAAAACAUGAAUGUAGGGAGAAGUACAGAGCAGUUGCGUCUCCUAGUCAGCAGCCCCUCCCUUCUCCUCUCUCUCUUCUCCCCUCUCCCUACACAACACAGGAGUUGACGACUGCAGCAUGAGAGGUUUACUGGCGACGCUUGAUGACGUCAUAAAACCGCCGCGAGCGGAGCAUAACAACAACAAGAGUGUGUUGUUGCCGGUGCUGUUUUGCCGUGGCUAACAAGCGAGCUCGGUGACUGACUAACGACAAUGUCUAUGGUUUGGGAUUAUUUUAAAGUGUGUCUGAUGGAUGAAAAAAAGAAUCAUAAGAAGAUACACGAUGAAUACAAGCGGAAGAUGGAUGAAAAGCAAACAGCGAAAAAAAGUAGUACCACACAGUUGUCUCUUAAAGACUCCGCCGAGAAAAAACAAAAGUACAACAAAAACCACCCCACAGCGAAAGCCCGCGCAAUAUGGCAAAAGCUACGGUGGGGUUUGGUGUGGCUAGUCUGCCCUGCAUGGCGCACACUUUGCAACUUGCAGUGAGCAGAGCUGCCCUGUCUCAACGCAGCAUUUCAGAAGCUCUGACUGACUGAUCAGCCAUUUCAAGCACUCACCACUAGCUUGCAGCACAUUUUUGUUACUCAUACAAAUACGUUAGAGCAGGGCAGAUUGAGCCCAGUUUAUAAUUUCCUGUUUUACAGUAUACCAGGCAGUCUUGCCCUAAAGGAGGACUAUGUUAUUGUGUACUUUAUUACUCUAGUAUACUCUGGGCUGAAGCUGUGUGCCUUCAUUUUUUGUGUAGCUGUUGUUUUGAGGCAUGUUUAAAAAAUAUAAAUAAACAAUGCACUUUGUGAAAGUCAAAGUAUAGUAUUUCCCAUAGUUGUAGUGGGUAUCAGGAUUAUCUCAGGGAGAGCAUGUCCCAAAUUCCAAGCUGCUGUUUUGAGGCAUGUUAAAAAAAAAUAAUGUACUUUGUGACUUCAAUAAUAAAUAUGACAGUGCCAUGUUGGCCUUUUUUUCCACAA